rnacentral:lncRNA from 1 species
UUCAAUCCAUCUUCAUUCUUAGUCUUUUACAAUUGAUGUUCUUCUUUCGCUCAAUGCAACAUUGGCUUAAAAAAUACUUCAAUCCAUCUUCAUUCUAAGUCUUUUACAAUAGAUGUUCUUCUUUUGCUCAAUGCCACAUUGACUUAAGAAAUACUUAAAUCCAUCCUCCUUCUCAUUCUUUUAUAAUCGAUGUUCUUCUCCCACUCAAUGC